rnacentral:rRNA from 1 species
UUGGAGGGCAAGUCUGGUGCCAGCAGCCGCGGUAAUUCCAGCUCCAAUAGCGUAUAUUAAAGUUGUUGCAGUUAAAAAGCUCGUAGUUGAAUUUCGGGGUUAGUAGGUUGGUCAUGCCUCUGGUAUGCACUGGCCUCACUGAUUCCUCCUUCCUGAUGAGCCGUAAUGCCAUUAAUUUGGUGUUGCGGGGAAUUUGGACUGUUACUUUGAAAAAAUUAGAGUGUUUAAAGCAAGCUAACGCUUGAAUACAUUAGCAUGGAAUAAUGAAAUAGGACGUUCGAUCCUAUUUUGUUGGUUUCUAGGAUUGACGUAAUGACUAAUAGGGAUAGUUGGGGGCAUUAGUAUUCAAUUGUCAGAGGUGAAAUUCUUGGAUUUAUUGAAGACUAACUACUGCGAAAGCAUUUGCCAAGGAUGUUUUCAUUAAUCAAGAACGAAAGUUAGGGGAUCGAAGACGAUCAGAUACCGUCGUAGUCUUAACCAUAAACUAUGCCGACUAGGGAUCGGAUGAUGUUAAUUUUUUAAUGACUCAUUCGGCGCCUUACGGGAAAC